rnacentral:rRNA from 1 species
UACGUAGGUGGCAAGCGUUGUCCGGAAUUAUUGGGCGUAAAGCGCGCGCAGGCGGCCUUUUAAGUCUGAUGUGAAAUCUUGCGGCUCAACCGCAAGCGGCCAUUGGAAACUGGGAGGCUUGAGUACAGAAGAGGAGAGUGGAAUUCCACGUGUAGCGGUGAAAUGCGUAGAUAUGUGGAGGAACACCAGUGGCGAAGGCGACUCUCUGGUCUGUAACUGACGCUGAGGCGCGAAAGCUAGGGGAGCAAACAGG